UACGUAGGGUGCGAGCGUUGUCCGGAAUUACUGGGCGUAAAGAGCUCGUAGGUGGUUUGUCGCGUUGUCCGUGAAAACUCACAGCUUAACUGUGGGCGUGCGGGCGAUACGGGCAGACUGGAGUACUGCAGGGGAGACUGGAAUUCCUGGUGUAGCGGUGGAAUGCGCAGAUAUCAGGAGGAACACCCGUAGCGAAGGCGGCACUCUGGGCCGGAACUGACGCUGAGGAGCGAAAGCGUGGGGAGCGAACAGG
rnacentral:rRNA from 1 species